rnacentral:lncRNA from 1 species
CACGGGACCUUAUCGAACACAAAGUCAGAGCUUAACAAAAAUACAAAUUAUCAAUGGUCAGCGUUUUAUUCCUGUUCAUCUUUAUAGUCGCUAGAGAGUCUUCAACAAUGAAAGAAUCACUUGUUUACCAGAAGAACAAAACGACAAUAGCAAGAAAGGAUCUGAGAGUACUUAAGUUUCUGACAGCUAGUUCACACUGUUACGUUUGAAGUCUUCCUGUCCGUCAUCCCGCAAUCGUUAUUUUUGAAGACCAUAAGUGAAUGAAUAAUUUGAUUUUCUGUCUCAGGACCUGCGCAUAUAUAAAAUACUUGCCACUGAACAUUGAACCAAGUAAAAUCAAUACACAUCGUUUCAUAUAUAAAAAUCAAUCUACAGAUGAUAAAGCAUUUCUUUGUUGGUUAGACUCCCUUUUUGGGGAGUUGAACACUGUGCGGGACAAAUUUCUUCUCAUGGGAAGAUAUAUUUUUCCCAUGGGAAUAUUGUGUUUUUUCUUUUUAUUUUUUUUUUCAGAAUUUGUAAAAGUGCUAUGAAAUAUCGAAAUGGACUGACAAUCACUAUAGUAACCAAUGACUGGAACAAUUUAACAGGCAUUUCAAUAAAUUAAAAGUAUUUCUAUCAUACUUUUACACUCAAUAGUCUUUUUUUUUUUUUUU